CCUACGGGGGGCUGCAGUGGGGAAUAUUGGACAAUGGGGGGAACCCUGAUCCAGCCAUGCCGCGUGUGUGAAGAAGGCCCUCGGGUUGUAAAGCACUUUCAGUGAGGAAGAACGCCUGGUGGUUAAUACCCAUCAGGAAAGACAUCACUCACAGAAGAAGCACCGGCUAACUCCGUGCCAGCAGCCGCGGUAAUACGGAGGGUGCGAGCGUUAAUCGGAAUUACUGGGCGUAAAGCGCGCGUAGGUGGCUUGAUAAGCCGGUUGUGAAAGCCCCGGGCUCAACCUGGGAACUGCAUCCGGAACUGUCAGGCUAGAGUGCAGGAGAGGAAGGUAGAAGUCCCGGUGUAGAGGUGAAAUGCGUAGAGAUCGGGAGGAAUACCAGUGGCGAAGGCGGCCUUCUGGACUGACACUGACACUGAGGUGCGAAAGCGUGGGUAGCAAACAGGAUUAGAUACCCCGGUAGUC
rnacentral:rRNA from 1 species